CCUACGGGGGGCUGCAGUGGGGAAUAUUGGGCAAUGGGCGCAAGCCUGACCCAGCAACGCCGCGUGAAGGAAGAAGGCUUUCGGGUUGUAAACUUCUUUUGUCAGGGACGAAGCAAGUGACGGUACCUGACGUAUAAGCCACCGCUAACCACGUGCCAGCAGCCGCUGUAAUACGUAGGUGGCAAGCGUUAUCCGGAUUUAUUGGGUGUAAAGGGCGUGUAGGCGGGAAGGCAAGUCAGAUGUGAAAACUAUGGGCUCAACCCAUAGACUGCAUUUGAAACUGUAUUUCUUGAGUGCUGGAGAGGCAAGCGGAAUUCCUGGUGUAGCGGUGAAAUGCGUAGAUAUACGGAGGAACACCAGUGGCGAAGGCGGAUUUCUGGACAGUAACUGACGCUGAGGCACGAAAGUGUGGGGAGCGAACAGGAUUAGAUACCCUGGUAGUC
rnacentral:rRNA from 1 species